rnacentral:rRNA from 1 species
UACGGGGGGGGGCAAGCGUUGUUCGGAAUUACUGGGCGUAAAGGGCUCGUAGGUGGCCAACUAAGUCAGACGUGAAAUCCCUCGGCUUAACCGGGGAACUGCGUCUGAUACUGGAUGGCUUGAGUUUGGGGAGAGGGAUGCGGAAUUCCAGGUGUAGCGGUGAAAUGCGUAGAUAUCUGGAGGAACACCGGUGGCGAAGGCGGCAUGCCUG